rnacentral:tRNA from 1 species
GAGGGUAGAGCUCAGUGGUAGAGCACGUGCUUAGCAUGCGCACGAGGUCCUGGGUUCAAUCCCUAGUACUUCCA